rnacentral:rRNA from 1 species
CACGUAGGCACCAAGCGUUGUCCGGAUUUAUUGGGCGUAAAGAGCUCGUAGGCGGUUCAGUAAGUCAGGUGUGAAAUCUUCGGGCUUAACCCAAAGCGUGCACUUGAUACUGCUGUGACUUGAGUUCGGUAGGGGAGCGGGGAAUUCCUAGUGUAGCGGUGAAAUGCGCAGAUAUUAGGAGGAACACCGGUGGCGAAGGCGCCGCUCUGGGCCGAAACUGACGCUGAGGAGCGAAAGCGUGGGUAGCAAACAGG